GAUUUCAACUGAAAAAGUCAUCAACAAAAAAGUUGUAUAACUUAUCAAUAUCUACAAUUUUGUUUUGGUCAUUUUUUCAUCCGACAAAGUAAUAAUAACAAUGUUCACAAAAUUUACAUAUCUCUCUUAUAGUUUAUAAACUAUAUAAGAGAUAUGUAUAUUUUGUAAACAAUAUUAUAAAUCGUUUUAUCGGAUGAAGAAAUGACCCAAAUAAAAGUUAUAUAUAUUGAUAAGUUAUACAACUUUGAUAUUGAUGACUUUUUCAGUUGAAAUC
rnacentral:pre_miRNA from 1 species